CCCUUAGAUGUUCUGGGCAGCACGCGCGCUACAAUGGUCUUCGCAAACGGAUGCAUUCUCGAAGGAGAAUGCCAAUCUUGGAAUCUAUGCCUUGGUCGGGACAGUUGCUUGCAAUUUUUCGACUCGAACCAGGAAUUCCUUGUAAUCGUGAUUCAUCACAUCACGAUGAAUACGUCCCUGCCCUUUGUACACACCGCCCGUCGCUCCACCGAUCGAAGAGUUAGGUGAAUUGUUUUGAUCGAUAAGAUUUGACUAUGGUCAACUCUCGUUGUGAAAUUCUGUGAAUCUGACUGUUUAGAGGAAGGAAAAGUCGUAACA
rnacentral:rRNA from 1 species